UACGAAGGGGGCUAGCGUUGCUCGGAAUCACUGGGCGUAAAGGGUGCGUAGGCGGUUCUUUAAGUCAUGGGUGAAAUCCUGGAGCUCAACUCCAGAACUGCCUUUGAUACUGAAGAUCUUGAGUUCGGGAGAGGUGAGUGGAACUGCGAGUGUAGAGGUGAAAUUCGUAGAUAUUCGCAAGAACACCAGUGGCGAAGGCGGCUCACUGGCCCGAUACUGACGCUGAGGCACGAAAGCGUGGGGAGCAAACAGG
rnacentral:rRNA from 1 species